GGAAUAUAAAAACCUGCAAGCUGAGAAAUGUUCAAAAGAACGAGAAAUCAACGAUUUGAAACAACAGGCUGAGUUUAACCAGCUAGCUCAUUCCCAAGCAAUUGAAGAAGUUGGUGAAAGGGUGAAACAAACACUGGCAUCUAAAGAUCAACAGAUCACAUUGUUAUCUGAAAAAGUAAAAGCUCUGCAGGCUGCUUUCAAAGAGCAGCUGAAUAACGCCAGUCCAAUCUAACUGCAAAUAUAACGUAUAAUCGUAUACAUCGAAUAAUUAUAAAACAUUUAUUUUCGUCCAGUAAAUAUUAAUAUGAAUCAAUAUACUGAUCAUUUAGUUUCUCAA